CGCCCCGGCAGGUGAGAGAGCCCCGACCCCUUGGACCCCGCCCGGCAGGUGAGAGAGCCCCGACCCCUUGGACCCAGCCCCGGCAGGUGAGAGAGCCCUCGGAGCCCCUUCGGAGCUCGGCCCGCCUCCACCGCCAGGUGAGAGACUCCCGUACCCAUCGGAUCCCGCCCGGUCCCCCGGCAGGUGUCUUGUCACAGUAUCGCGAGCGGGUUUCUAAUGCCAACCAGCGGCUUUGCUCGGUAUGUGCACACACACUGUGCAGGGACACGGACGCCACUCCCAGGACACCAUCCCAAGAAAACCCCAUCCCGAGAAACUGCUGUCCCGUGCAGUGCUGGAUGGCCUGAAGCCGUUUGCACACCCUGCACAGCACUUGCAGAGUUCGCACAGCCUUUGCACAGGGUUUGCACAGCCUGUACGCGGAGUUGGCGUGCCUUGCAUGGCAUUUGCACACGCAGCCCUUGUUCACACCUUGCACACACCAUCCCCUAGCAGUUAGUGACCCCCCAGCUGGGGCAGGAGGCAGAGGAAGGGCUGGCAGAGCAAGGCUUCAUUAGCUGUUAUUCUUCUGUCAGUCCCUUAUUCAAUCCAGCCUGAUGCUGUUCAGAUACUAAAGGUCAUUUUUAAAAACCAUCUGACAAGACCUCCCAGCCCUGAGGCCUCACUGCCCCCUGGCCAGGGUGCUGAGGCUCUACUCGGGAGCCCUCCCAGAACCAGAACAUGGCAGCAGGGCUCAGGGCAUCUCUUCCCAAAGACGGGAAGGCUGAAAAGCACUGUCCAGUCCUGUCCCCCUUCAUCCCACCUCAAAGAGCAGCCCCGGGCUCCAAACUGUGCUCCUGAUGCCCCCACUGCAGUGUACGGCAGCACUCCCUUUCCUGGUGCUGCCCAAGGAAAGGAUCAAAAGGGUCAGCAACAGGAUGGAAGGAUGACGGGGUGGAAAGGACUGUCAAAUGGGCAGAUGAGUCUAUCCCUAAACCUCUGGGCUUCUUGCAAUGGUUUCUGGAGCAUCCUGCCUGGAAUCGUUUCACACAGUCAGUUUUAUGAGAAAGUGAAAGGUACACAAAUGGUGAGUGUGGGUCUAGCCUCGGGCCCCCAAGUCUGUACAUCCUCCUGCAGACUGGGGUGCAAUGUACCUGCCACACAUGUGCCCCAAGCCCCAAGCUUCACCAAAUUCCCUGGGCUGGAACUGUCACUGCAUUUUUGAUGUGUAUCUUUCAAAAAUUAAAGUUAUAUUGAUACAACA